CUCUGCAAUUUGCUCAUGUCCCUGUGAGACAGCACAUUCUGUGUUGGUACAAGGCCACGGAGCCCACAGCUGUGACUAAUCAUAUGGUGUUCCCUGAGGCUCUCCCAGAGAAAUUGAGAAUCUGAGCAGAGGUGGAGAGAAUUUGCAUUUAUGUUUGGCCUCCCACAGUUCCCUGGAAUGCACUUCAAGACUGAGGUUUGCGAAAACAGACUGGAAGGAAAUUUGCUUCUAUGUUAGAAUGGAGAAAGAACAAAAGCCCUAAUGAGUGCCCUAACGUGAAAGGGGAAGUUGCUCUUAUUGCCGCCACAUAGGAAUAGAGGUCUAGUUUUCCCCCUUGGCCACUGUUGAUGCAUUUAGCCUUUUCUGACACUACCUUGGAGCUUGCUCACUUUGAUGAAGAAAGCGAUCAUUCUGAAGCAGUCCAUGUGGCAAAUUUAUGGCAGUUUACAGCCAACCACUGGCAAAGAACUGAAUUCUCUCAGUCAUUCCAUCCACAAAGAAUGCAACGUGGACAACAACCAAUCCUGAGUUGGCUUGGAAGAGGAAUUUGACACAGUUGAACCUAAGAUGAGUAUGGACCUGGCUGAGAAGUUGAUUAUAGGCUAGUGAGAGACCCUGACGCAGAGGACCCAGGAUUUGGAGCGUGCUGCACCCUCAUGAUUGGGAUCAGUGCCUUUACAAGGAGAGGCCGGAGAGCCAGCUCACUCUCGUUCUGCCCUGUGAGGAUUCAACAAGGAGUUGGCAGUCCGCAAACUUGACAAGAGCUCUCCCCAGAACCCAACCACGCUGGCACCCGACUCUCUUCCCAGCCUCCAGAGACUACAAUACUGCACAAUAUGCAAGCACCAACCUAGAGUGGAUCUUUUUAGCAUUAUUUUCUAAACACAAAUGCCCUGAAGAAAUUUGAAGAAGAGAAAUCCUGCCUGUGGGAAUAACUAAGCAGUAUGUGGCAUUUUAAGGGAAAGCAAGAUAGCCCGCGGUAAGCACCUAUACUUAUUAAUGGACAAUGGCUAAAUUACUGGUCAUUUAAUGGGGACCAGAAUAGAGACUUGGGAGCUGUGUGACUAAAAGAUUUGGGGACAGAAUGCAUAAAGGAUAAGUAUAGAGCACUAGAAAUGAACCCAGAGAAUAAGAAAAUUUGUACCCCUUGUGAGUGGUCUUAGAAGAGCCUCAUUUCAGAGGAUGUUUUCUCUAAUCAAGAAAACAAGAUGGUCUUUACUAUAUAUAUCAGACAUUCU